GACGAACGCUGGCGGCGUGCUUAACACAUGCAAGUCGAACGGAAAGGCCCUGCUUUUGUGGGGUGCUCGAGUGGCGAACGUGUGAGUAACACGUGAGUAACCUGCCCUGGACUUUGGGAUAACUUCAGGAAACUGCGGCUAAUACCGGAUAGGAGCUCCUGCUGCAUGGUGGGGGUUGGAAAUUUUCGGCGGUUGGGGAUGGAAUCGCGGCUUAUCAGCUUGUUGGUGGGGUAGUGGCUUACCAAGGCUUUGACGGGUAGCCGGCCUGAGAGGGUGACCGGCCAGGUUGGGACUGAGAUACGACCCAGACUCCUACGGGAGGCAGCAGUGGGGAAUAUUGCACAAUGGGCGGAAGCCUGAUGCAGCAACGCCGCGUGCGGGAUGACGGCCUUCGGGUUGUAAACCGCUUUCGCCUGUGACGAAGCGUGAGUGACGGUAAUGGGUAAAGAAGCACCGGCUAACUACGUG
rnacentral:rRNA from 1 species